GAUGAACGCUGGCGGCGUGCCUAAUACAUGCAAGUCGAGCGAACAGACGAGGAGCUUGCUCCUCUGACGUUAGCGGCGGACGGGUGAGUAACACGUGGAUAACCUACCUAUAAGACUGGGAUAACUUCGGGAAACCGGAGCUAAUACCGGAUAAUAUAUUGAACCGCAUAGUUCAAUAGUGAAAGACGGUUUUGCUGUCACUUAUAGAUGGAUCCGCGCCGCAUUAGCUAGUUGGUAAGGUAACGGCUUACCAAGGCGACGAUGCGUAGCCGACCUGAGAGGGUGAUCGGCCACACUGGAACUGAGACACGGUCCAGACUCCUACAGGAGGCAGCAGUAGGGAAUCUUCCGCAAUGGGCGAAAGCCUGACGGAGCAACGCCGCGUGAGUGAUGAAGGUCUUCGGAUCGUAAAACUCUGUUAUUAGGGAAGAACAAAUGUGUAAGUAACUAUGCACGUCUUGACGGUACCUAAUCAGAAAGCCACGGCUAACUACGUG
rnacentral:rRNA from 1 species